rnacentral:rRNA from 1 species
AUUGAACGCUGGCGGCAGGCCUAACACAUGCAAGUCGAGCGAGCGGCGGACGGGUGAGUAAUGUAUGGGGACUGCCCGAAAGAGGGGGAUAACUAUUGGAAACGGUAGCUACUACCGCAUACUAUCGGAUUACCACUAUGGGAUUAGCUAGUAGGUGAGGUAAUGGCGCAACUAGGCGACGAUCCCUAGCUGGUCUGAGAGGAUGAACAGGCACACUGGGACUGAGACACGGCCCAGACUCCGACGGAGGCAGCAGUGGGGAAUAUUGCACAAUGGGCGCAAGCCUGAUGCAGCCAUGCCGCGUGUAUGAAGAAGGCCUUAGGGUUGUAAAGUACUUUCAGUCGGGAGGCGUUACCGACAGAAGAAGCACCGGCUAACUCCGUGCCAGCAGCCGCGGUAAUAC